rnacentral:lncRNA from 7 species
GGCUGAAGCAGUUCAGAGCGUUGGAGGACUGGAAGAGCUGAGCAAUGGAAGCCCUGGCAUGUGGCGGAGGAUCUCGGGUCUUUGAUCCAGAGGUGGUGAUUUAUUGGGCAAUUGGAUAUCUACACACCAUCAGUCAUGCUGGAAAGAGGCACUGUGAUCUCAUCAGUCUGGGAGAAUGAGACAUGGAAGGACUUCUAUCAGAUGAAGGGGGGCUGACGGAUGGAGAAGUCAUGGAGAGGGCCCAUGAGAAACUUUGAUUCCCUCGGCGCUUGGAGAAAAUGGCGAGCACGUACCAUGAAUCAGAGGGGCUCAUUUAGGAAUGAAGACACUAUUACUCAUCCUGCUCUGGCAUGAGUGAGCAGCUGGCAGCCUAGUCUGAAAUUCUGUGAAGACAACAGGAGGCAAAAGGAAAAAAAGCUCUAGCUGCAGUGCACCUCUUGUCAGCUCAGCAGGCAGCAUAUGAGAAUUGGGAGGAGGCAGCACAAAGACAGAUCUGCUGAGCUGAGCUUUUAUGUGCUUUGCUUUCCGUUUCCAUCUAUCUGCUCUUUCCAGCUUUUUUUAGUGCAAGCUCGGGAUCACGAUGCGAUGCACAAAGACAAAUUCUCUUGCAGGAAGGUGGAGCAGCCCCAAGCAGACCGAGCCUGCAUGGCGCAUGGAUGUGGAAUGGGUCAGAUCUGCUUCCGUGUGCCUCAACCCUGGAUGGUAUCAACAAUAUUCAGGAGUUCACUGUACUGUGCUCCAUUAGGGUCCGAGCAAAGUGUCUUGAGUAGGAAAUCAAGGCUCGUUUGUAAUUUUAAUGCUCACAUUCCAUGUUCAUGUACAGCAUUCAGUUGUGUCCUCCGCCCCUUAUCCAUGCACGGUGGUGAAACUUAGGCAGAGCAACUCAGUGCACGUUGUUUGUCCUCCUCCAAACACAUAUGUGAAGUCACCGUGAUGGCCGGGGGAAGCUCGGGGUGUUGGGGCACCAUCCCACCUCGUUGUCCUGGAGCAGCCCCGGGGUUCUCCUCCACCCGUGCUGCUGCUGAUCAGAGGACGCUGCCUCACUAUCCUGCCUCACUACUCCAGGAUUUCUAAGCAGGCCCAGUGAAGCACAAAGCUCCGGGGCCAUCUUAGCAGCAUUGGUGUCAUUUCCUCCUCUUUUCCAAGCAGCCGAGGUGGGAGCGCGGCAGGAAGGCGGCGGUGGAAUGUUCCCUGCACAGACUUGCAGCCGCCGCAGGAAUGCACACAAGAUGCAGCACGCUGCCCUGAUUGUCUGCCUUCAUUCCCCUCCAGGUGUAGGCAGCUGCUGCUGCUGCUCUUAAAGUUUAAUGUGACAUGUUUCU